UGGCUCUUACUGUCGUAACUGGUAGCAUAUUUUUCUCUUAGAUAUACAUAAAAUCAGUGCACACCCAGCCGGCAAUGAUGUCUUAGAGGUGAUGAACAACCACAGUUGUUAAAUAAAUGAAGAUUUUGAGUCAGAAUAUGGACAUGCCAGAGGUCUGGUGUCGAAGAGAGGUGAGCAAAAGCCAGCUGGACAGGAUGAGAGGAGCUGCCUGACAUGGACGAGUUGCCUCCCUUAAGGUGGAGCCUUGCAAUCUAAAUCAAUGAUCUAGAUGAAUUUUUAAAUGAAAAAAACACUAUUGAAAUAUUUCUAAGCAUUUGUGAAUUUAUG
rnacentral:lncRNA from 1 species